GUCCACGCCCUAAACGAUGUCAACUAGGUGUUGGGGAGGAGACUUCCUUAGUACCGCAGCUAACGCGUGAAGUUGACCGCCUGGGGAGUACGGCCGCAAGGUUGAAACUCAAAGGAAUUGACGGGACCCGCACAAGCGGUGGAUUAUGUGGAUUAAUUCGAUGCAACGCGAAAACCUUACCUACCCUUGACAUGCCAGAAAGUUUCCAGAGAUGGAUUCGUGCCCCGAAAGGGAAUCUGGACACAGGUGCUGCAUGGCUGUCGU
rnacentral:rRNA from 1 species